rnacentral:rRNA from 1 species
CAGAGGGUGCGAGCGUUGUCCGGAAUCACUGGGCGUAAAGGGCGCGUAGGUGGCGACCCAAGUCAAUGGUGAAAGCUCGAUGCUCAACAUCGAGUCGGCCACUGAUACUGGGUUGCUCGAGCACUGUAGAGGCAGAUGGAAUUCCGGGUGUAGCGGUGGAAUGCGUAGAGAUCCGGAAGAACACCGGUGGCGAAGGCGGUCUGCUGGGCAGUUGCUGACACUGAGGCGCGACAGCGUGGGGAGCAAACAGGAUUAGAUACCCUGGUAGUCCACGCCGUAAACGAUGGGCACUAGAUGCUUGGGGGAGCGACCCCCUGAGUGUCGUCGCUAACGCAGUAAGUGCCCCGCCUGGGGAGUACGGCCGCAAGGCUG